UACGGGGGGUGCAAGCGUUGUCCGGAAUCAUUGGGCGUAAAGAGCUCGUAGGCGGUUUAUAAAGUCUGGUGUUAAAGGCGCAGGCUUAACUUGUGUAAGGCACUGGAUACUUAUAGACUAGAAUGCGGUAGAGGUAAAGGGAAUUUCUGGUGUAGCGGUGAAAUGCUUAGAUAUCAGGAAGAACAUCGGUGGCGUAAGCGCUUUACUGGGCCGUAAUUGACGCUGAGGAGCGAAAGCCGGGGUAGCAAAU
rnacentral:rRNA from 1 species